rnacentral:rRNA from 1 species
GAUGAACGCUAGCGGCAGGCUUAACACAUGCAAGUCGAGGGGCAGCGCGGGAUAGCAAUAUCCUGGCGGCGACCGGCGGAAGGGUGCGUAACGCGUGAGCGACAUGCCCGUUGCCCGGGGACAACCGGUGGAAACGCCGACUAAUCCCCGAUGGGAUAUUGUGCCGCAUGGCACGAUAUUGAAAGUUACGGCGGCGACGGAUUGGCUCGCGUCCGAUUAGCUGGUUGGCGGGGUAACGGCCCACCAAGGCUGCGAUCGGUAGGGGUUCUGAGAGGAAGGCCCCCCACAAUGGGACUGAGACACGGCCCAUACUCCUACGGGAGGCAGCAGUGAGGAAUAUUGGUCAAUGGGCGGAAGCCUGAACCAGCCAUGCCGCGUGCGGGAAGGAGGCCCUAUGGGCUGUGAACCGCUUUUGCCUGGGGGCAAUAAGGGCGUCGCGCACGUCCGAUGAGAGUACCAGGCGAAUAAGCAUCGGCUAACUCCGU